AGAGGAACUUACACCAUCCCCAACAAACAUGAAUAAGCGCAGUGCAAACACAGGAGUUUAAACCGUGUUUAAUAAAACUAAAUCUGUUCAGCAUUUAAUGACAUGAUGACUGACUGCUGUUACACAGAUUUAACAGCAGAAGAGCAGAUGGAGAUCAAACAACUGAAGAUGCACAAACAGAUCCUGCUGGAUGACAUUGAGAAACUGAAGAAUCAGAUUGAAAAUGUAAUGGCAGAUAUUCAGGAUUUCAAGUCUUCAGAGGACACUAAAAUAUUGGAGAGAGAAAAACGCUUCUGUAGAGGCAAGAAGAAAUUCAACAUGGACCCUAAAAAGGGAAUCAAGUAUCUGAUUGAGAAUGAUCUUCUGGACUGGAGAGCAGAGCCGGUGGCCGAGUUUCUGUAUAAAGAGGAAGGACUCAACAAGACGGCCAUCGGAGACUUCCUUGGAGAGAGAGAGGAAAUGCAUCUGCAGAUAUUAAAAUCGUUUGUGGAUCUGCACAAGUUUUCAGAUCUGACCCUGGUUCAGGCAUUACGGCAAUUCUUAUGGAGUUUCCGUCUGCCUGGUGAAGCUCAGAAAAUCGACCGCAUGAUGGAAGCUUUCGCUACACGAUACUGUAACUGUAACCAUGAAGUCUUCCAGUCAACAGACACGUGUUACAUCCUGUCGUUUGCCAUCAUCAUGUUGAACACGAGUCUACACAACCCUAACGUGAAAGAUAAAACCACACUGGAGCGAUUCAUUAGUAUGAACCGAGGAAUAAACAACGGUGACAACCUUCCUGAUGAUCUGCUCACGAAUCUGUACAACAGCAUACGGAACGAACCCUUCAAAAUCCCAGAGGAUGAUGGGAAUGAUCUCACACACACGUUCUUCAACCCUGAUCGAGAGGGCUGGCUGCUCAAACUGGGAGGUCGGGUGAAGACGUGGAAGAGACGCUGGUUUAUUCUCACUGAUAACUGCUUGUAUUAUUUUGAAUUUACCACAGAUAAAGAACCACGUGGGAUUAUUCCACUGGAGAAUCUGUGUGUACGGGAAGUGUUUCAUCCCCGAAAACUGUAUUGUCUGGAGCUGUUUAACCCCAACAGCAGAGGUCAGAAGAUCAAAGCGUGUAAGACAGAGACAGACGGACGUGUCGUUGAAGGGAAACAUCAGUCAUACACGAUCUGUGCCACAUCAGCUGAAGAGAGAGACAACUGGAUAGAAUCCAUCAGCCCAACGACACCACAGUGACUGCUUGAAUUUCUGCCUGCCUGGCAGACAUCUCUGCCUGGAUGAAAGAGCACCACCUGCAACUCAACCCAGCCAAGACUGAACUCCUUGUCUUUCCAGCCAACCCUGCUGUUGAACACAACAUCACCGUGCAGCUGGGUGCAACUACAGUAACGCCUUCUGUCAGAAAACUGUCAGAAAUCUAGGGGCCAGCAUUACAAAAGAUCCUUUUUAUGAUCUAGUGUCUGUCCGAAAGAAGAAAGUCAUCAACAAAGUUCCAGUGAAGAGAGAGAUCAAAGUAAAUGAGCGCAUGUGAACGGGGCGUUGUCCAGAUUUAACGAACUGCAAACUGAGCAGAACGACGAGAAUUUCCUCCACGAUGAAUCUUACGAAACCUGUCAAGAACAUGUGCAGGUCAUAUUUCACCUGAAAUCAAAAGAAGGAAACAAGAAAUUAUAUUUUGCAAAAAGAAAAUGAUGCCAACUUUUAUGACCAUUAAGAUUUUUAUGAAAUUGUUUUCAUGACAAUUAAUUUCCCCCCAAAUACACAUUACUAUAAUACAAAAAACGUAAAUAAUUGUCAUUACUGUAAUGUGGAAAAAAUUACACAUUAUUUAUGGUAAAGUAUUUAUAUGUCAUAGUAGUAUUUGAUGCAAUGACUUAAAAAAAUGAUUGCAUUACAAUAAUGAGAAUUACAAACAAACUUAAAAGUAAAAUAUCUGGAUAUAUUACAGUAAUGAGGAAUUAGGAAAUAUGCUUAAUUUAAUGGUGAAAUAUGACCUGGAAAUGUUUUCAUGAGAUUCACACACACACAAUGUUUUAUACACAUUUUAAGCAAAUACUUUUGUAUUGAAUGUAAAAUAUUUUUGUAUAUAUUUUGGAUCAUAUGAGAUUGUAACGGUGAAUUUUACAGUCCAUUUCUUAUAUAAUUCAAAUUAUUUGGGACUAAAUAUCACAUGAUGGUUUUGUUCUCUGUUGUCUGUUUGUGUUUUAGCAGGAGAAUUAUUACUGUGACAAACGUGACACAUUUGUUAAAAGAAGAAACUACAUUCUGACACAUGUAGUUUUGACACACGACUCAGUAUGUGGAAAGUUUAGCACUUUACUGACAGCACAGAGUCUAAAUGAAAUGAAAUUAUGUAUUUUGUAUAGCGAAGCCAAAAUACAAUGUCCACACACGUGUACGCGGGUCGCACAAGGUUAAACUCAUAUGGAAUAUUGACAUUUUAAAAACAAAGCCAAUGACAAAUAAUCAAAGGUGUCCUACUUCAGCUGCAUUAAAGAGCAGAUGGUCGAUACCAUCACUGAAACCUCACAUAAAGCUCUCAUGUUAUUUCAGAAGACCUGGAAUACAGCACACAAGUUGUGACAGACUUUUAUGUUCAUUUUACGGUGUGCUUUUUUUUUUUUUUUUUUUGGAGCGUGACAAAUGAUGUACUGUUGAUGUUUGGAAAAAAGUGUUGUGAAGACUCUUCAAAAAUUCACCUGUUGUGUUCCACAGAAGACAGAAAGUCAUAUGGGUUUGGAACAACAUGAGUGUGAGUAAAUGAUGUCAGAGUUUUCAAUUGUGAGUGAGCUAUUCCUUGAACCUUCUGAACUGUGAUGUCACUCAUCUUUAGAGGAAGUGUUUCAGAGGGGCUUGUUGAAUCUAAAAAGGAAGAAAAUGUUUGAACAUCUGCAGUUAAAGUUGCAAUCUCUUACUCAAGAGUUUAAUUCACGCUACAGCAACAUUUAAAAAGGCAAACGUGAAAUGACCUCAUAGUUUUCACUUCUGAUCAUGUGACAUCUGCUGGUGCCUUCAUGAAGGUCCUGUAAACUGUCCUCGUUUAGUAAAAAAAAUCACAUUAAUUUUUUUCUUAUUUCUUAGGCACUAUCUUUUAAACUAUAGGCUAUUUUUACAAAACUCAACACACUAACCACAAAACCUUACACCAAACCAGCAAAACAUUAUACAUCUCUUACAAAAAAAAAAACUCUUCAAACACUUUUUAAAAAAAAGUGUUUUUGCAACAAUACAGUGAAAGAAAAAAAAACAUAAUUUGAAGAAGCACAGGAAGGGCCAACUACGCACUGUUAGAAUAAAUGAAAAACACUUUUGGCUUCUGCUUUUUCUGUAUGCAGGGCAUAACAGUUUGCUAUAAAGUUUUGUCAUACAUGUAGUAAACACACAUACACACAGACAUCCAAAUGUGUAUUCUGAACAUAACACACUAUAAAUACAAAUAAGGGGAAAAAGUUAUUUACUGUAUUUGUUUUCUCAAUGUUCUAACACUCCUCAAAUAACAAAAGAGCAGUAGAAGAAAACAAAAACAUUUGUGCUAGAAAAAUAAAAUAAAAAAUCUGAAAAAAAUUAGUUAUCCAAACCAAAUGUUCACCUGUGGUCUAUUUAUGGUGCUCAAGCUCUUAUUUGUAAGUGAACUCAUUAUCUAAAAGUGUUUUCACAUGUGUCAAUGUGGAAAUGCAACUGGUGAAAUAGUUCAGCAAUGCAGAGAACAAUGUUUACAGUUUUGCUAGAAGUGUGUUAUUAAAUUACAAACUGUGUAAAGCAGAGAACAUGCAUUCAGUUUGGCACAUUUGUUAAAUGCAUUGGCUACAAGUGUUAAUGGUUUCAGAGAUAGUGCUUCAAGAGACACUGUUAGUGUUUAAGCAUUCAGAAAAACUGUAAUACAUCAAUGUGGAUCAAAGGAUCUCUAAACAUGUUUGUGACAAAUUAUGGACACAUUAAAGUCAAACAAAUGCAGAUGAGUCAAGAUCAUAUUUACAGACACUUCCUGUUCGCAGUAUAUUUCAUCCACAGAUCCCUUUUGUGGUCAGACAGACACACACACACACACACACACACACACACACCCAGCUAAACUUUGAGACACUGGAAGUGUGAAAGAGGAAAUGUGCGCGCACGCGCGCACACACACACACAUUUAUUUUUUUCCAGUUAACACUUUUUCUUGAUUCUAAC